AACGAACGCUGGCGGCAUGCCUAACACAUGCCAGUCGAACGAGACCUUCGGGUCUAGUGGCGCACGGGUGCGUAACGCGUGGGAACCUGCCCUUAGGUUCGGAAUAACUCCCCGAAAGGGGUGCUAAUACCGGAUAAUGUCUUCGGACCAAAGAUUUAUCACCUUUGGAUGGGCCCGCGUUGGAUUAGCUAGUUGGUAGGGUAAAAGCCUACCAAGGCGACGAUCCAUAGCUGGUCUGAGAGGAUGAUCAGCCACACUGGGACUGAGACACGGCCCAGACUCCUACGGGAGGCAGCAGUGGGGAAUAUUGGACAAUGGGCGAAAGCCUGAUCCAGCAAUGCCGCGUGAGUGAUGAAGGCCUUAGGGUUGUAAAGCUCUUUUACCCGGGAUGAUAAUGACAGUACCGGGAGAAUAAGCUCCGGCUAACUCCGUG
rnacentral:rRNA from 1 species